GCAGGAAACCGGAAGUGUGGACACUUGGAAGAGUGAAGAAGAAAUGAGAGCAAGCAGGAAGAAGUUCAAAUGAACUUUAAAAAUGGAGAAAGGCGUAUGUAGGGAUCUUGAAUGUAUGUACGCGACUGGAUGAGGAAUGUACAGGAGUCUUUGCGGACUAGCUGUGAAUCUAGGAGGGAUAUACAGGAAUCUCCAGCGCUAAAAUGACCUUCAUGUUUGGAUUGUGGUGAGCAAUUUUUCAGCAUGGAAAGUCCACUCGCAGAUGCAGCUGUAGUGCAAAAAAUGUACUGCCAUCUACAGGACUGGAGUGGAACAACAUGACACAAUAUGAUUUCAUUAACCAAAAUACACAAGACGUGACUUCAGUCUGUCGGCUCAAGAACAACGGCGAAAGGCGGAGGUGUGAAGCCGACGACGAAAUGUGGGGAAAAGUGAUGGAGUAAAAGAAAAGGUUAUUAGCAAUGAUGAAACCGAUAACAUUUCAUAUUAGCAUGUGUGCAGGUGCACCCGUUUGAAUGUCUCUGCUUAACCUUGUGGAUCAAUUAGCAUAAAUUAGCAUUCAAGUGGCCUGAAAUUGUUGAGCUGAGAGAUCCACCACAAAUGAGAAAUAAUAAGAGGGAAGACUAAACGGUGUUCUUAUUUUUCAAAAAGAAAAGUUAAGUUUCCAUGAUUUGAAAAAAAAAAUAUGCUUUUGUGUACGUCAGCAAGCAAGCAAGCGUCCCUCUCGAGCGCCGGCACUUUGAUAGUCGCCGCUAACGACCAUCAAAGAUGACGAUCAGUGUGCCCACACAAAAUGUGGGGGCUAAUUAACGCGGAAGAAACGCACCCAGCGCCGCCCGCAAAACACACACACACACA